rnacentral:tRNA from 1 species
AGGACUAUAGUUAAUUAUAACAUUUGGUUUGCAUCUAAAAGGUAUUGAAUAUUUCAAUUAGUCUUA